rnacentral:lncRNA from 1 species
UUUAUAUGCCUAGUCAAACUACCCGUGCCGCUACGGUCUCCAGUAUACCUAUGAACAAGUAAUUUCCCACAAGUUUUACACUUAGCCUUAUCGUGCUCUCUUACUUGAGUAAAAAAAUGCCAAACUAAUGAUGUUUCUUGACGUUUAACAGGUUGUCUACUAAAAGUGGGAGUUUGUACAAGUGGGUGUACCGGUUCAUUACCUAAGAUAUGAGGAGGACUAGUAGGUGUAUCAUCUAAAUCUGGUGCUUGGGUUUCAUCAUCAUCAUUAUAACAUCCUCAUUUUCCUCUAAGAUAGGUUCAUUAGGAUAAAGAGCAUUCAUA